rnacentral:rRNA from 1 species
ACCUUACCUACCCUUGACAUGUACGGAAUUCCGCUGAGAGGUGGAAGUGCCCGAAAGGGAGCCGUAACACAGGUGCUGCAUGGCUGUCGUCAGCUCGUGUCGUGAGAUGUUGGGUUAAGUCCCGCAACGAGCGCAACCCUUGUCCCUAGUUGCUACGCAAGAGCACUCCAGGGAGACUGCCGGUGACAAACCGGAGGAAGGUGGGGAUGACGUCAAGUCCUCAUGGCCCUUAUGGGUAGGGCUUCACACGUCAUACAAUGGUCGGAACAGAGGGUUGCCAAGCCGCGAGGUGGAGCCAAUCCCAGAAAACCGAUCGUAGUCCGGAUCGCAGUCUGCAACUCGACUGCGUGAAGCUGGAAUCGCUAGUAAUCGCGGAUCAGCAUGCC